AUUGAACGCUGGCGGCAUGCUUUACACAUGCAAGUCGGACGGCAGCACAGAGAAGCUUGCUUCUUGGGUGGCGAGUGGCGAACGGGUGAGUAAUAUAUCGGAACGUACCGAGUAAUGGGGGAUAACUAAUCGAAAGAUUAGCUAAUACCGCAUAUUCUCUGAGGAGGAAAGCAGGGGACCUUCGGGCCUUGCGUUAUUCGAGCGGCCGAUAUCUGAUUAGCUAGUUGGUGGGGUAAAGGCCUACCAAGGCGACGAACAGUAGCGGGUCUGAGAGGAUGAUCCGCCACACUGGGACUGAGACACGGCCCAGACUCCUACGGGAGGCAGCAGUGGGGAAUUUUGGACAAUGGGCGCAAGCCUGAUCCAGCCAUGCCGCGUGUCUGAAGAAGGCCUUCGGGUUGUAAAGGACUUUUGUCAGGGAAGAAAAGGCUGUUGCUAAUAUCAAUAGCUGAUGACGGUACCUGAAGAAUAAGCACCGGCUAACUACGUG
rnacentral:rRNA from 1 species